GGGUUCUUAGCUCAGCUGGUUCAGAGCAUCUGCCUUACAAGCAGAGGGUCACUGGUUCGAAUCCAGUAGAGUCCACUA
rnacentral:tRNA from 1 species